AUUGAACGCUGGCGGCAUGCUUUACACAUGCAAGUCGAACGGUAACAGGCCGCAAGGUGCUGACGAGUGGCGAACGGGUGAGUAAUGCAUCGGAACGUGCCCAGUCGUGGGGGAUAACGCAGCGAAAGCUGCGCUAAUACCGCAUACGAUCUAUGGAUGAAAGCGGGGGACCGUAGGGCCUCGCGCGCUUGGAGCGGCCGAUGUCAGAUUAGGUAGUUGGUGGGGUAAAGGCCCACCAAGCCAACGAUCUGUAGCUGGUCUGAGAGGACGACCAGCCACACUGGGACUGAGACACGGCCCAGACUCCUACGGGAGGCAGCAGUGGGGAAUUUUGGACAAUGGGCGCAAGCCUGAUCCAGCAAUGCCGCGUGCAGGAAGAAGGCCUUCGGGUUGUAAACUGCUUUUGUACGGAACGAAACGGUUCUCUCUAAUACAGAGGGCUAAUGACGGUACCGUAAGAAUAAGCACCGGCUAACUACGUGCCAGCCGCCGCCGUAAAAC
rnacentral:rRNA from 1 species